CAGCAGCACGUUGGCCAACCAGUCCCCACCACAGGACCCCCCCACCCCCCCGGAGCUUUCCCCUCUCCCGACGCUCUCCGGGCUCCCAUCGCGGUGCGGCGGGGCCGGAGCCCCGCACCGGGGCUGCUGCUUUCCGCGAGUGCCCUCUCCUGGAAGCUCCUCCUGGGCUCCUCCGGGUACCGAGCUGCUCUGUUUCAGCUCGUAGCCCGCGCCCGCAAUCCUCCCGUAGAGGCUGUGCCGCAACCUGAAGUGUAUUCGGGAGCAUCGUGCGCCCUCGCGGCACGCUGCGCUUCUCCCAGGUGCUAUUUCGGCUCCGCUGCAGCCGUUCAUCUUUCCGGCGUGCUGUGAGCUGGGUGAGAGCUCGACCCUGCUGGCACACAGCCUGCGUUUGCAUGCGGAAGGUAUCACUGGGAAGUGACAUUGUUGGGGUGACGCUGGGGUGACACUGGGAUGAUGUUUGGGGCAUUUACCUUCCAUAUUCCUGGGUGGUUGUUUUUUUUCUGAGGUGGAUCCAUGCAUUUCCCAAAGUUUGGAUCUAAAGACUGAAAGCUGUCCUGGCAGAGCUGGCUUUGAGUACUGCUGAGGAACGACACUCAGCCCAGCUUGGAGACAGAGAGCAGCACCCAGUGCUGAAUCCAUGCAGAGUUAUCUGUCUUUCUAAACUUCAGGGCUCUUGCCAAAUUCGCAGGCAGCCCUGUGAAAGCGCCGUGUCCCACAAGAGCCAUGUAUUUUAAUAUGAAGUAGUUUUCUUUGCCCUGGAUCCAGGAGUGGUUCUCCAUGCUGACAACCCAUAAAAGACCUAAUGACCCAUCUGAGGGACAUUAACGGCGCGCUGGCCAUUGGAGACGGGAGAGGAGAGAAUCUGCAUGAGGCCUACUCCUGGCUACCUGUGCACAGCCCAGAGGGAUUCAUCUCCCCCAGCUCAUCUCUGCCUGCCAUUCACACACCUCUCCCCAUCACCCUCAGCCCACCCAAGGGUGUCCCCAUCAAGAUAUCCUUCCACCAGUGGCCAACAGAAGACAAGUCAUAGAAUCACAGAAUCAUUACGGUUGGAAACAACCUGUAAGAUGACCAAGUCCAAUCAUUGACCCGUCGCCACCAUACUGAUCAGGCCUUGGAAGUGCCAGGAUCCCCACUGAGGCGCACUCAGCAUCCCAUAUCUCACACUGAUCCCCCACUAUCUUCCCUCACUGCUUCCAAAACAGGUACUUGCAUGUUCUUCAGCCUUCAGGAGUCCUGUUAUGCACUGAAGAGCUUCUCUUAUUUCUUUUUUCCUAUUUUUUUUUUUUUUUUUUACCCUUGGAGUGCCCUAAUUAUACAGAGCAUUGAUUUUACAAUGCAUUCAUGGAUUGAUUGUACUGCCACGCUCCUCCCACAGGAAACAGCUUGCACACGAGCACUUUUUGAUCUCUCCAAAGUAUUCCCUGAGGUGAAUCAAUGGCUCUUGCAUCUUGUCUCUUGCUUUAGUAUAGGAGAAGCUGAAGAUGUUUUGCUGCUGAAAUGAGCGUGAAGAAAAAUAUCUGAAAGGAGGAGAAGAGAAGGAGAAUGAUUCACUUCUUCCCACCUCCCCCACCCCCCCCCAAAAAAAAACUGUCUCAUGUACAGCAAAGUAUGUUC
ensembl:lncRNA